UACAGAGGGGGCAAGCGUUAUUCGGAAUUAUUGGGCGUAAAGGGCGCGUAGGCGGCUUGGCAAGUGGAAGGUGAAAUCCCUCGGCUCAACUGAGGAACUGCCUUCCAGACUGCUUUGCUUGAGUCCGGGAGAGGUGAGUGGAACUCCGAGUGUAGAGGUGAAAUUCGUAGAUAUUCGGAAGAACACCAGUGGCGAAGGCGGCUCACUGGUCCGGUACUGACGCUGAGGUGCGAAAGCGUGGGGAGCAAACAGG
rnacentral:rRNA from 1 species